rnacentral:rRNA from 1 species
AACAGCAUCUACUCAUGCAGUCGAGCGAAUGCGAUUAAGAGCUUGGUCUUAUGAACUUAGCGGGGGACGGGUGAGUAACACGUGGGUAACCUGCCCAUAAGACUGGGAUAACUCCCGGAAACCGGGGCUAAUACCGGAUAACAUUUUGAACCGGAAGGGUCGAAAUUGAAAGGCGGCUUCGGCUGUCACUUAUGGAUGGACCCGCGUCGCAUUAGCUAGGUGGUGAGGUAACGGCUCACCAAGGCAACGAUGCGUAGCCGACCUGAGAGGGUGAUCGGCCACACUGGGACUGACACACGGCCCAGACUCCUACGGGAGGCAGCAUUAGGGAAUCUUCCGCAAUGGACGAAAGUCUGACGGAGCAACGCCGCGUGAGUGAUGAAGGCUUUCGGGUCGUAAAACUCUGUUGUUAGGGAAGAACAAGUGCUAGUUGAAUAAGCUGGCACCUUGACGGUACCUAACCAGAAAGCCACGGCUAACUACGUGCCAGCAGCCGCGGUAAUACGUAGGUGGCAAGCGUUAUCCGGAAUUAUUGGGCGUAAAGCGCGCGCAGGUGGUUUCUUAAGUCUGAUGUGAAAGCCCACGGCUCACCCGUGGAGGGUCAUUGGAAACUGGGAGACUUGAGUGCAGAAGAAGAAAGUGGAAUUCCAUGUGUAGCGGUGAAAUGCGUAGAGAUAUGGAGGAACACCAGUGGCGAAUGCGACUUUCUGGUCUGUAACUGACACUGAGCGCGCGAAAGCGUGGGGAGCAAACACGAUUGAGAUACCCUGGUAGUCCACGCCGUCAAACUGAUGAGUGCUAAGUGUUAGAGCGGUUUCCGCCCUUUAGUGCUGUGAGUUAACGCAGUAAGCACUCUGCCCUGGGGGAGUACUGGACAGCUAAGGCUGAUACUCAGAGGACUCUGCACGAGGCGCUCGCAUCGAUGCUGGUGGUAAGCAUCGUGGUUUAAGUUCGAAAGCAACGACGUAGCACCUGUACCAGUGCUCGUGAACAUCCAUCUAGAACUAUCGCUAGUAGAUAGGGGCGUGCUACAUCAGGGAGCAGAGCUGACAUGGCGGGUGCAUCGAGCUUGUCGGUCAGCUACGAUGUUCGUGGAGUAAGUAGCGUUACGUACCCGCCACCGAGUGCAUCAUUGGAUCUAAUUGGCCACUCAUUUAAAUUAGGUUACGU